UCGUACGGGUGGAGUAUUUCACUACACAGCAGGUCUGCAGACCACAAACACUCAUUAUUUUGUCUUUUCCUAAAAUUUACGAGUGUACGACUUUGACGUGCAAAAGUUUACCGGCACUACGGUACCAUGUAUUCAAUCGAUGCGCCUUUACUUGAAGCUACAUUUACAUCGCAAUAUAACAGGGGUCACCAAUUAAUAUUUUUGAAGGGCCACAUUAGGAACCUGAAAAUUUUUCGUGGGCCUUCAAAAUUCAAAAAAUUCACUGUCGGUGUCAAGUAUUCAAGUUGAACUUACAAAUUAAUCAUAAAGAAUGUUGAAGACGUUCGGCAGUAUCCGGUCAAGGAUUCGGUUCAGUUGAUCGUACCGGCCGAGAACUCGGUCCUUUGACAUUAUCCAAUUAUUUGACGGUUUUUCGGCGAACAGUAUCCGUGAACAAUAUGCAUAGUAUCAUUCUCGAAAACUUCGAGGAGUCUUUCACAGUUAUCUUUGCGCCGAAUAGAAUCUAUGAAACGACCAGAAUCCCCAAGCAAUACGGAAUACUCCAAUUUGCGGCACUUGUAACUGGCUGUUGACGCGAUUAUGAUAUAAGCACGACGACUUCAAUUUGGAACAAUUCUAAAUACUUGGCGAACGGCUCGAGAGCAAUAAUAUAAAAGUGACAGAAUAAACUUGUGUACGACUCAACUAACUCUGUGUAAAAUUUAAAAUUAAUUAUAAAACUACGAUUUUUAACAUA
rnacentral:lncRNA from 1 species